CGGAUACAGGGAGUGGCAAACGGCUGAGUAACGCGUAGGAACCUACCCCAAACUCGAGUAUAGCCCCGCGAAAGCGGGGGUAAUCCUCGACAGCCCGUGAAGUAUUUUACUUCACGGUAAAGCUUUUGCGGUUUGGGAUGGGCCUGCGUCCUAUCAGGUAGUUGGUGAGGUAAAUGCUCACCAAGCCUAUGACGGGUAGCUGGUCUGAGAGGAUGGUCAGCCAGACUGGGACUGCGACACGGCCCAGACUCCUACGGGAGGCAGCAACUAGGAAUUGUGCGCAAUGGACGAAAGUCUGACGCCGCGACAUCGCGUGGAGGAUGAAGGUCUUCGGAUUGUAAACUCCUUUUCUUACCGAACAAGUUCUGAGUGUAGGUAAGGAAUAAGUGCCUGCUAACCACGUGCCAGAAGCAUCGGUAAUACGUGGGGCACGAGCGUUAUCCGGAUUUACUGGGCGUAAAGAGAAGCGUAGGCGGCUCGAUAAGUUUGGUGUUAAAUCUUCCGGCUCAACCGGAAACAAGCACCGAAAACUAUCGAGAUCGAGUCGAGUAGGGAAGAGGGGAAUUCCUGGUGGAGCGGUUAAAUGCGUAGAUAUCAGGAGGAAUACCAAGGGCGAAGGCACCUCUUUGGACUCGUACUGACGCUGAGGCUCGAAAGCGUGGGUAGCAAAACGGAUUAGAUACCCGUGUAGUCCACGCCGUAAACGAUCCCUGUUAGAUGU
rnacentral:rRNA from 1 species